ACCAGAAAACCCUAAGUAAUAUUCUCAAACCUUCUCCCAUCAAUCAUAAACACUCCUCAAAGCAAAUCAAACAACUUCAACAUGGAGAACAACAUGGCAAUUACGGAAUUGUGAUUUGUUCGCUAAAUUGCUUCUCGGAUAAGAACUUCACCUUGAAGGAACUUGGAGUUUGGAGUGAUUUUGAUCAUCUAAGGAAAUCAUUCGUAAGACGUUCGAGGACUCGGGAAAAUGUAUAUAACUCCAUCGACGAGGUACGGUACACGGAUUGUUGUACCUUUCUCUGUAGGAUACCAAAGUUCAGCAGGGAUGUUCGCACUCCAUUUUCCGGAGUUGCUGGUCAGAGUCAUUA